GCCCUGCGCCGCCGCUGUCCGCUCCCCGGAAACCGACGCAACCCCCGCCCCGCAGCGCCCCCAAAGCACCCCUGCGACGCCGGGUGCUCUUUGUGCCUUACAGACACCAGGAUUAGAGCAUCCCAAGAGAAGCGCCUGGGCAGUAAGUCAGCCCCUUGCGCAGACACCAGAUCUGGCAGCCCGCAGGGCCCAGCUGGCCCAGUCUGACCCAUUCUUGACUUCUCCACCCCGCUGCUCCUGCAGCACCUCACAGAGGUCCCUGGGCACGUGCAUUGUCAUCCAGAAGAGACUGGUGUUUUAAAUAGAGGCAGCAGGGAGAGGAUGCCGGUCAGGGUCAAUGUUUAUCCCAGGGACAGGUUUAGACUUCCCAUGGCAGUGACAACAGGACCUCCUGACCCUUGAUGGCAGCCUACCCUCCGGCUGCUCACGACAGCCACACCCCCCAGCACUCCAGCUCCUCUUGCAGAAGUUGUCACCGGCCAGGACAACAGGCCACAAGAGAAAUGGGGACAUUCUGUGAAGACCAAGGUUUUCAAAAGCAGAAUCAGUAAUACAGCUAAGGAUGGCAGCCGUAUAUUUAGCAGCACUCUCCAGCCCCUACCCCUCCUCACAGGCUGCGGUGCUGCAGCAGAACCACCUGCUGCCUCCAGGCCAGACAGUGACCAGAAAGUCUCACCACCAUCCCGCAUGGCAGGUGGCAUCUGGACUCUUGAUCUUAUAAAGGCUGGGGCUGCCCACAGCCAGGGCACCCUCCAGAGCCACAGGCAGCCCACGGCUCUUGUGUGGACAAAGGAGGAGACAGCCCAGUGCCUGUCCAGAGCCCUGGCCUGUGUUCACCCUGAGGCGCACUAGAUGGGCAGAUGAUGCUGGGAAGCUCCAGACCCUGCCCUGCCCAUCCUGCAGCUCCUCCUGCAGAAGGCUGAGUCCCUGGGACCUCACACUUGGAGUGGCAACCGCCUCACUCUUAGGAGCUCCUCCUGUUCCCAGGGAUCAGACAGGGUCCCUCAUACCUCUCUCCAAAGCAUCUGGUGCUGGCCUCAAAUUUGGAAUUCAACACACUUUUGUUAUUCCUAUCAGAUGAAAACUUCAAAGGAUAAGGACUGUGGUUUUAGCAUCCCUGUAUCCUAAGGAUCCACAAUAUAAUCUUCAGUCUAUGUCAGAUGAAUGAGUAAAUGAGUGACUGGGUUAGUGAAUGAAUGAAUGAAUGUCUCCAAGCUACAUCGGACAGCUCAGGUCGGCAGCUGGGGCGGGUAACUAUGGCCCCAAGUAUGGUAAUGUGGACAAAGGCGCUGCAGGUGAAGAUGUAGCCCCAGCUGCAACUUUGAGAACUGGGAGGGACUGCAGAGACCAGGGUGAAGAUGUGGAACUCUUGAUGUGAGGUCUCAUUUGAUCCACAUUUUAGAGUUAAAACCCAAGACAUAAUCUAUAACAUCAGUUCAGCCAAAUCCUUAAUUUGUGGCAGGCCUGCUUAACCCAGGCGGCGGUCCACGCUCAUAAACACUGAGCUAAAUAGAGGAAAAACAUUUCCUUCUCUUCCCACAGACACGCAUGCUCUGUAAGCAGCCAUGCAUGGCAUUUAUUUAUUUAAUCUUGUUUGUUUUUGCAGUAGUGGGGAUUGAACCCAGGGCCUUC